AGAGGAAACCCGUAUCCCCAAAGUGGAGGUGUCCCCUUCCCCUGGGAGCCCUGCCUCCUCACAGGCUGCCAUGCUCUGUUGUCCCUGUGACUCACCAAGUGUGUGCAGAGGCUGGAGGGUGGGCAGGGGCUGGGAGGGGCUGGAGAAGAGGCCGGUCUUGCUUCUGACACUCGAACUCCUCAGAAUUGCCACCUGCCCUGUGUGUCAGCACUGAGAGGGCAUUUUAGAGAUGGACAGAGGCCUGGCCUUUUCCAUUUUUUGAGUACCUUGAAUAUUUGAAAAAAGAAGAAAAAUGCCAGAAUUGGUACAAAAAAUUGUAGGUGGUAUAUUCUAUUUAGAUGCUUAAUAAAAAAAGUGCUGCUAAACACUUAUAAAAAUACAAUGGCUAGGAGGACCCUCAUUUGGAGAGAAUGAUUCCAUAGAUCCAUAGACCAUAGAUUCACAUUCUAUGAUUUGAGGUCGUUUGUGGGUGAGAUUCAGAACGCGUGGCUCUCCUGGUCCUCUGCUCCCCUUCACCUCCGUGUUAGAUAUGGGUGCCUUUGGCGGGGCGGGGUGGGGGGUCUCCUGCUGGAGGGCUCAGGGCCCCACUCUUCUAUGGGACAAAAGCCUUCAGAUCAACCUUGUGCCCCUGGGGAGAGGAGUGGUGCCCUCAGGGUGGCCUGGCCUGGGCAGGGAGGGUCUCCUUGCUGGGCUGGGGUGAACAGCAGGUGGAGGGACACAACCUGAGUCAUCCGUGGGACACGAUGCCCCCUUCUCCUGAUGGCCUCCUCCUCCAGCCAGGGGCUCAUCACUGGGGUAUCUGGGUUACCUUGGUUACAACAUAGGAAAAGGAAGUUUUGCGAAUGGCUUCUCCUUGGGUGCUUUCAGACUUAAGAAAUAGCUCCAUCAUUUGUGGCCAGCUUUCUGCUGGUUUCCUUCUGUGAUGAUAGCAGCCGCCAGUUCAACUCAUGACAUGCCUACAUCAGCCAGGCAUUGUGUUAAGAGCUGAAAAUACAGCGGUUAUUCACGCUGGCUGUCCUGGGGGCAGGGGAGCUGACCGUUGAUUUGGGAGAAACGCACAAGUGUGUGAGUCACCUCCAUAUAAUGAAGUGAGCACUCUUCUUGGAUUAUGACAGAACCAUAGAGGAGAGCCACCCACCCAGGGCGGGGCGUUCCUGAGAAGGUUCUGGAACAGAGAGGGAGGCUGAGAUGAAUCCUGAUGAAGAAAGGACUUAGCCAGGCUGGAGUGGGUUGUGAGAAGAUCCAAGGGACGGGGGCACCCAGCUUGGGUCGAGCAAGUGCAGGAACUCUGGGGUCACUGACCUGAGGCUUCAGGGUUGAUAUCUCCCUCCAGUGCCUGCCUAACACUGUGCCUGACACACAACUACAUUUCCAACAGUGGGAGUUCAGGGUCAGAAGGUAGAAUGACAACUACAGAAAACUUUCAAUACCAGGUUUUCCCUCAAAGGAAAUCAACGUCCAUUGGCGUUCCCCUCCGCAGAGCAUGAGAGUCUCUCUAUCCCCACCUGCCCCUCCACCCGUGUUAUUAAAACUCCCUUCCUCCACCUGUGCCAA